rnacentral:rRNA from 1 species
GACGAACCGUCCAAACGUUAUUCGGAAUCACUGGGCUUAAAGGGUGCGUAGGCGGUCCGAUAAGUUGGGUGUGAAAGACCUCGGCUCAACCGAGGAAUUGCGCCCAAAACUGUCGGACUUGAGUAAGGCAGAGGUGAACGGAACUUAGGGUGGAGCGGUGAAAUGCGUUGAUAUCCUAAGGAACACCAGUAGCGAAAGCGGUUCACUGGGCCUUUACUGACGCUGAUGCACGAAAGCCAGGGGAGCGAACGGG